rnacentral:rRNA from 1 species
AAAUUGAAGAGUUUGAUCAUGGCUCAGAUUGAAUGCUGGCGGCAGGCCUAACACAUGCAAGUCGAACGGUAACAGAAAGCAGCUUGCUGCUUUGCUGACGAGUGGCGGACGGGUGAGUAAUGUCUGGGAAACUGCCCGAUGGAGGGGGAUAACUACUGGAAACGGUAGCUAAUACCGCAUAACGUCGCAAGACCAAAGAGGGGGACCUU